rnacentral:rRNA from 1 species
GAUGAACGCUGGCGGCGUGCCUAAUACAUGCAAGUCGAGCGAACGGACGAGAAGCUUGCUUCUCUGAUGUUAGCGGCGGACGGGUGAGUAACACGUGGAUAACCUACCUAUAAGACUGGGAUAACUUCGGGAAACCGGAGCUAAUACCGGAUAAUAUUUUGAACCGCAUGGUUCAAAAGUGAAAGACGGUCUUGCUGUCACUUAUAGAUGGAUCCGCGCUGCAUUAGCUAGUUGGUAAGGUAACGGCUUACCAAGGCAACGAUGCAUAGCCGACCUGAGAGGGGGAUCGGCCACACGGGAACUGAGACACGGUCCAAAACCCUACGGGAGGCAGCAGGAGGGAAUCUUCCGCAAUGGGCGAAAGCCUGACGGAGCAACGCCGGGGGAGUGAUGAAGGUUUUCGGAUCGUAAAACUCUGUUAUUGGGGAAGAACAAAUGUGUAAGUAACUGUGCACAUUUUGACGGUACCAAAUCAGAAAGCCCCGGCUAACUACGG